rnacentral:rRNA from 1 species
GAUGAACGCUAGCGGCAGGCCUAACACAUGCGAGUCGAGGGAUAAGCCUUCGGGCUUAGACCGGCGCACGGGUGCGUAACGCGUAUACAAUCUGCCUUUUAUCCUGGGUAUAGCACGAAGAAAUUUGGAUUAAUACCCUAUUGUAUAAGAGCACGGCAUCGUGCACUUAUUAACGCUACUGCGGUAAAAGAUGAGUAUGCGUUCUAUUAGCUAGUAGGAGAGGUAACGGCUCCCCAAGGCGACGAUAGAUAGGGGGUCUGAGAGGGAUGUCCCCCGCACUGGUACUGAGAUACGGACCAGACUCCUACGGGAGGAAGCAGUGAGGAAUAUGGGACAAGGGUCGGAAGACGGAUCCAGCCAUGCCGGGUGCAGGAUGACGGCGUUAUGGGUUGUAAACUGCUUUUGUAAGGGAAGAAUAAGGAGUACGUGUACUUUGAUGACGGUACCUUACGAAUAAGCAUCGGCUAACUCCGUG